rnacentral:rRNA from 1 species
GACGAACGCUGGCGGCGUGCUUAACACAUGCAAGUCGAACGGAAAGGCCCUGCUUUUGUGGGGUGCUCGAGUGGCGAACGGGUGAGUAACACGUGAGUAACCUGCCCUUGACUUUGGGAUAACUUCAGGAAACUGGGGCUAAUACCGGAUAGGAGCUCCUGCUGCAUGGUGGGGGUUGGAAAGUUUCGGCGGUUGGGGAUGGACUCGCGGCUUAUCAGCUUGUUGGUGGGGUAGUGGCUUACCAAGGCUUUGACGGGUAGCCGGCCUGAGAGGGUGACCGGCCACAUUGGGACUGAGAUACGGCCCAGACUCCUACGGGAGGCAGCAGUGGGGAAUAUUGCACAAUGGGCGGAAGCCUGGUGCAGCAACGCCGCGUGCGGGAUGACGGCCUUCGGGUUGUAAACCGCUUUCGCCUGUGACGAAGCGUGAGUGACGGUAAUGGGUAAAGAAGCACCGGCUAACUACGUGCCAGCAGCCGCGGUGAUACGUAGGGUGCGAGCGUUGUCCGGAUUUAUUGGGCGUAAAGGGCUCGUAGGUGGUUGAUCGCGUCGGAAGUGUAAUCUUGGGGCUUAACCCUGAGCGUGCUUUCGAUACGGGUUGACUUGAGGAAGGUAGGGGAGAAUGGAAUUCCUGGUGGAGCGGUGGAAUGCGCAGAUAUCAGGAGGAACACCAGUGGCGAAGGCGGUUCUCUGGGCCUUUCCUGACGCUGAGGAGCGAAAGCGUGGGGAGCGAACAGGCUUAGAUACCCUGGUAGUCCACGCUGUAAACGGUGGGUACUAGGUGUGGGGUCCAUUCCACGGGUUCCGUGCCGUAGCUAACGCUUUAAGUACCCCGCCUGGGGAGUACGGCCGCAAGGCUAAAACUCAAAGGAAUUGACGGGGCCCCGCACAAGCGGCGGAGCAUGCGGAUUAAUUCGAUGCAACGCGUAGAACCUUACCUGGGUUUGACAUGGAUCGGGAGCGCUCAGAGAUGGGUGUGCCUCUUUUGGGGUCGGUUCACAGGUGGUGCAUGGCUGUCGUCAGCUCGUGUCGUGAGAUGUUGGGUUAAGUCCCGCAACGAGCGCAACCCUUGUUCACUGUUGCCAGCACGUUAUGGUGGGGACUCAGUGGAGACCGCCGGGGUCAACUCGGAGGAAGGUGGGGAUGACGUCAAGUCAUCAUGCCCCUUAUGUCCAGGGCUUCACGCAUGCUACAAUGGCUGGUACAGAGAGUGGCGAGCCUGUGAGGGUGAGCGAAUCUCGGAAAGCCGGUCUCAGUUCGGAUUGGGGUCUGCAACUCGACCUCAUGAAGUCGGAGUCGCUAGUAAUCGCAGAUCAGCAACGCUGCGGUGAAUACGUUCCCGGGGCU